UGGGGAAUUUUGGACAAUGGGCGAAAGCCUGAUCCAGCAAUGCCGCGUGUGUGAAGAAGGCCUUCGGGUUGUAAAGCACUUUUGUCCGGAAAGAAAUCCUUGGCUCUAAUACAGUCGGGGGAUGACGGUACCGGAAGAAUAAGCACCGGCUAACUACGUGCCAGCAGCCGCGGUAAUACGUAGGGUGCAAGCGUUAAUCGGAAUUACUGGGCGUAAAGCGUGCGCAGGCGGUUUGCUAAGACCGAUGUGAAAUCCCCGGGCUCAACCUGGGAACUGCAUUGGUGACUGGCAGGCUAGAGUAUGGCAGAGGGGGGUAGAAUUCCACGUGUAGCAGUGAAAUGCGUAGAGAUGUGGAGGAAUACCGAUGGCGAAGGCAGCCCCCUGGGGCCAAUACUGACGCUCAUGCACGAAAGCGUGGGGAGCAAACAGGAUUAGAUACCCUGGGUAGUCCACGCCCUAAACGAUGUCAACUAGUUGUUGGGGAUUCAUUUCCUUAGUAACGUAGCUAACGCGUGAAGUUGACCGCCUGGGGAGUACGGUCGCAAGAUUAAAACUUAAGGAAUUGACGGGGUCAUAGCUGUUUCCU
rnacentral:rRNA from 1 species